rnacentral:rRNA from 1 species
AGUGGCGGACGGGUGAGUAACACGUAAGAAUUUGCCUUUAGGAGGGGGAUAACAACUGGAAACGGUUGCUAAUACCCCAUACGCUUUCGAGUGAAAUGGAUUUCCGCCUAAAGAGAAGCUUGCGGCUGAUUAGCUUGUUGGUAGGGUAAUGGCCUACCGAGGCGACGAUCAGUAUCUGGUUUGAGAGGACGAUCAGACACACUGGAACUGAGACACGGUCCAGACUCCUGCGGGAGGCAGCAGUAGGGAAUUUUCCGCAAUGGGCGAAAGCCUGACGGAGCAAUACCGCGUGAGGGAUGACUGCCUAUGGGUUGUAAACCUCUUUUUUCAGGGAGGAACAAAAUGACGUGUACCUGAAGAAUAAGCAUCGGCUAACUCCGUGCCAGCAGCCGCGGUAAGACGGAGGAUGCAAGUGUUAUCCGGAAUUACUGGGCGUAAAGCGUCUGUAGGUGGCUCGAUAAGUCAACUGUUAAAUCUUGAAGCUCAACUUCAAAAUCGCAGUCGAAACUAUCGGACUAGAGUAUAGUAGAGGUAAAGGGAAUUUCCAGUGGAGCGGUGAAAUGCGUAGAUAUUGGAAAGAACACCGAUGGCGAAAGCACUUUACUGGGCUAUUACUGACACUCAGAGACGAAAGCUAGGGUAGCAAAUGGGAUUAGAUACCCCAGUAGUCCUAGCCGUAAACAAUGGAUACUAGGUGUU